rnacentral:lncRNA from 1 species
AGGCACGAAGCCAGCGGUAGGGCUAGGGGGGCUCCAGCCCCCCCUACCGCUGCUGGCCUAGUGAAAUUUCUAGUGUUUUUCUUUUAAUUUUAGACAUAAAUUUAUAAAGUAGGGUUGGCUGAGAACUUUAUUUUUUAGAUAUAUUUUGUGAAUUUUAUUAUUGGUCUAUAUUUUUAAUCUAAGACUACUUUAAACUAAUAUAUUUUUUAUUACGAGGGAUAAUAGUAGAGCUAGGUCGAUGUAGAAUUUUUGUUCAGCCCUCCCUAAAUUUUUUUCUGGCUUCGUCCCUGA